AACACAUAACAAUACAAGUGUUAUUGUUUUUUUCACUUAAACUUAAUAAGAGGUCCCCUCUUUUUUAAAUUGAGUUCAUUAACUUUCAAUCGCAUUUGGGCGUUCUUUCUCUCGACACUGUGAGAUUAAGGUUUAGCUAAACCAAUGCUUCCCUUAUCAACAAUCUCAACAACAUAGCAUCCAUCAAUAGAUGUUAAUCUUUCUUAUCUUUAUCGGCAUCCCUCAGUAGACAUCAAUCUUUCUCAUCUUCAUCGGUAUCCAUCAGUAGAUGCUUAAUCACAUAACAUCCAUCAGUGGAUGUUAUCAUUCAUCAUCCUCAUCAUAGCAGCAUCCAUCAGUAGAUGUUGUCAUCUGAAUCCUUAUAGC
rnacentral:lncRNA from 1 species